AUUUAGCAUACAUACCUUAUAUAACAUACCAAUAAUACUAGGAAAGACUUACUAAUGAAAAGGAGCAACCAUAAACACAAAAGACAUGACGCACCGAUUCGCAAAAGAAAAAACUCGUCAGGGAAACUGACGGAUGGGAGCUGGCGCUCCCUUGUGGAGCUGGCACUCUAGUGAGGAGUGAGCGCUCUAGACAGGAGCCGGCGCUCCUUGCUGGCAGCGAGUGCUCGUAAUCUUCGAGCUAGGCUCGUACGUGAUCCAAUGACCAACUCAAUCCACACCAAACAUCAUCAACCAACACCCUUAACAUGAGACACAUCACUCAACCAUCAAAUACUCCAAUCUCCAAUAAACAAACCAAGUUACACCAAAUCAUUUGAACAACAAAACAUGAAAUUUGACAAACUAACUAGCAAGAACCAACGAGAUGAUCAUAAAAACAUGUUCACUACAUGAAAAGUAACAUAAGAACAACCAUACUUAACAUGAUAAUACGUUAAACUACAAUCAUACAAUCAUCUAAGUUCCACCUAGCAUGAGACUAAGUUCUCUAACGCAAUUCUAACAACCUAAGUUCAUCAUCUAUUCCCUAUCGAACUAGAAUAACGCUAGUUACCUUUUUCUUGAAGAGGUAAGUAGUAGAACACUUCGAUCAUAGUCUAAUUGCCUUGUGAGUAAUCACCACCUUCGUCUCUUACGAACACAAUCACAACGAACUCAACACGUGCUUGAAAACCGGUGCAAAAAUAGCUUGAAACCAUGAAAUGUGGACUGGUUUUUGUGUGAGAAAAUGUGAAGGAAGAACAAAACUUUUCCUACUCUCCCUUUUUCUUGUAUUAGGCGUGUAAAAUGAAGGUGACAAUGGAGGUAUUUUUAUGAUUUUAUUUUCAGAAAAUGAAGGUGAAGAGUUUGUGUUUUAAGAGGUUAAGAAAGGUAAAUGAAGAUGGCUCUUCGUUAACUUAACGCUAUAAGAGCUUAAUAAGGCUGUCCAACAACCGUUCAUACACCACCAAUAAAAUCAGAAAUUUGGACUUCCUAAAACAAAUAAUACAAUGUACAAAAGCACUAGUACAAUGUACAUUUUGGGCACCAAGUAAAACGUUGAAAAUAAUAUGUAUAAGUAAAUAUUUUUAUAAUUAAAAAUUAUAAUUAUUAACGUAAUACAAAUACAUACUUACCACACUAUCACAUUUUAGACUUUGCACAGACACGAGCACUACAUUUUCCGGUUCAUAUAACUAACGCAGAUACAAGUAUUAUACGUCUAUCAAACAAUGCCACACAUAAAACACAUUAUAAACACAUUAAAACACUAUUGAUCAAAAUAAUGUAGGUGUAAAAGUAUAUAAAUAUAUUUAUACUUUUCGAAAAUAUAUUAGUAAAAUAUAAUUUAACACUCAAAUAAUAAAAAUUAACGCGCGAAAAUUUCAGAGAAAUUUUGGGGUGUUACAAUCUCCCCUCCUGAAAAGAAGUUUCGUCCUCGAAACUUAAAAUAACAAGGAAAUACCAGGGACAAAAAGCUCGGGAUACUUAAGCCUCAUUGACUCUUCCGUUCCCUAAGUGGCUUCCUCGUACUUUUGGCUUCUCCAAAGUACCUUAACGAAGGGUAUCACCUUUCUUCUCAGGGCACGAUUUUGACGGUUGAAGAUCUGGACAUGUCGUUCAUCGAAAAUCAUAUUCGGCUCAAUAGAGACUGACUCUAUAGGAAUGACAUGAGACGGAUCACUACGAUAUCUUCGCAACCGCGACACAUGGAACACAUCGUGCACCCUCGAUAACUCGGGUGGCAUAGCCAAUCUGUAAGCUACCUCCCCAAUCCUCUCGAGAAUCUCAUAGGGACCAACAUACUUCCGGCUUAACUUGCCUUUUUGAGCAAAUCUCGCCACACCCUUCAUCGGAGAUACUUUCAGCAGCACCCUAUCUCCAAUGGCCUAAGAAAUAAGCUUCUGACGCAAAUCUGCAUAAGACUUUUGCCUAUCCUAAGCAGCCUUCAUUCUAGCCUGAAUAACCUUUACUUGCUCAACGGUAUCUUGGAUCAAAUCUGGUCCCAACACCAAAAAGUCACUUAUGUCGCUCCAACAAGUAGGACUACGACACUUUCGCCCAUACAAGGCUUCAUAAGGAGCCAUCUGAAUGCUAGCAUGGUAACUGUUAUUGUAAGAAAACUCGACCAAAUUCAACGACUUCAACCAGGACUCUUGAAAUUCCAAAGCACAAGCACGGAGCAUACCCUCCAGAGUCUAAAUAGUUUCUCAGUUUGCCCAUCUGUAGCAGCAUGUAAAGCGGUACUCAGCUUAAACUUAGUACCAAAAGCUUCUUGCAGAGCAACCCAAAAUUGAGACAAAAACCUAGGGUCACGAUCAGAGACUAUAUCCUUCGGAACACCAUGCAAUCGAAUGAUCUCAUUAGCUUAAGCUUCCGCUAACUCUUCAAUAGACCAAGUAUUCUUCACCGGAAUAAACCGGGCCACCUUAGUCAACCGGUCUACGAUCACCCAUACGGCAUUCUUACCACCAGCAGCUCUCGGAAGACCCAUAACAAUGUCCAUCGAGAUAGAAUCAAACUUCCAUGCAGGAAUAGGUAAUGGUUGUAGCAAUCCACCUGGUGUUUGAUGCUCAAUCUUGACCUUAUGACACACCAGACACCUAGCCACAAAUUCGACCACUUACCUCUUCAUACAAGGCCACCAGAAAUUAGCCUUGGGAUCCUUGUAAAGCUUAUCACCCCCAGGAUGAACAGAGUAGGGAGUGCAAUGAGCUUCUUCGAGAAUCUUCUUCUUAAGCUCUAGGUCAUUAGGUACACACCAACGACCCAUAAAUUUCAGUCCUCCCUCAGAAUCUAGUUCAAAAUUUUCAGCUCGACCGUGAACCUUAGCUUCACGGAUUUUCUCCAACUUAGGAUCACUCUUCUGCUUCUCUCGUAAUUCCUGGAACAAGACAGGCUCGACACUCAUAGCACAAUAAGUUUCUACUGAACCCUGAGGUACAACCUCGAUUUCAAGCUUCCAAAAUUCAUCACACAAGUCCCUCGGCGGGGUUCUAACCGCAUUAAGAGAAUGCUUCAACUUACGACUUAGGGCAUCUGCAACCACAUUAGCUUUACCCUCAUGGUAAUCGAGUUGCAAAUCGUAAUCCUUGAUCAAUUCCAACCAUCUUCUCUACCUCAGAUUCAAAUCUCGCUGUGUGAAGAUAUAUUAAGGCUCUUGUGGUUGGUAAAAACUCUACAUGAAACUCCAUACAAAUAGUGUCGCCAAAUUUUAAGGGCAAACGCCACAGCAACCAAUUCUAGAUCAUGAGUAGGGUAGUUCCUUUCAUGCACCUUCAAUUGUCUAGAGGCAUACGCCACCACCUUUCCUUGUUGCGUAAGGACACAACCCAAACCGUGCUUUGAUGCGUCACUAUAAACUUCAAACCCAACCCCUUCGGUAGGCAAGUUCAGAACAGGAGCAGUAGUGAGGCACUUCUUCAAUUCUUGGAAUGCCUUUUCACACUCUUCGGACCACAAAAAUUUUCUCUCCUUUCUCAUCAAUUUGGUCAACGGCUGAGAUAUCUUUGAGAAAUCCUUAACAAACCUCCGAUAGUAACUAGCAAGACCUAGGAAACUUCGGAUCUCAGAAAUAUUACUAGGACUCUCCCAAUCCACCAACAGCUCUAAUCUUGGGAGGGUCUACCAUAACACCAUCCUUGUUGAUGACGUGGCCUAGAAACGACACUUCCUUAAGCCAAAAUUCACACUUGGAGAACUUCUCAAACCACUUAUGUUGCCUCAAAAUACCCAAGAUCAACCUCAGAUGCUUCUCAAGCUCUUCUUCAUUCUUAGAGUACACCAAGAUAUCGUCAAUGGAACUCAUGGAAAGAGCGGUUCACCUGGUCCAUGAAUACAACAAAGCAUUUGUAAGACCAAAGGGCAUAACCACGAACUCAUAAUGCCCAUAUCUUGUACGGAAGGCGGUCUUAGGAAUAUCCUCCUUCUUCACUGGAAUCUGAUGAUAUCCUGACCUCAAAUCUAUCUUAGAAAACACUCCAGCACCCUUUAGCUGGUCAAACAGAUCCUCAAUGCGGGGCAAAGGAUACCUAUUCUUGAUAGUCACCUUGUUCAAUUCAUGAUAGUCGAUGCAAAGCCGCAUACUCCAUCCUUCUUCCUGACAAACAGGAGAGGAGCACCCGACGGUGAAACACUCGGCCUAAUGAAUCCCUUAUCAAUCAGUUCUUGCAACUGAGUCUUCAAUUCUUGCAAUUCAGCAGGCGCCAUUCUAUACGGGGCCUUAGAUAGAGGGGUAGUACUAGGAGCGAGGUCAAUGCUAAACUCGACCUCUCUUUCGGGAGGGAUGCCCGGGAACUCGUCAGGGAAGACGUUCGAAUACUCACGAACAACCGGGAUGUCCUCUAACUUCACCUCUUGAUUCAGAUCUUUAACCAUGUAGAGGAACACUUGCUUUUGCAUUUUUAGAGAAGACACGAUCUUUACUCCUUUCUUCAACACCACUCCACUAUAGGAGAUACGGUUGCCACACGGACUACGAAGAGUCACCUUUUGAUCGCGGCAAUGAGUCUGGGCACGAUACUUAAACAACCAAUCCAUACCCAGGAUAACAUCAAACUCAAUCAUGGAGAAUUCCUUGAGAUCAACCGAAAGAUUGGUACCCAACAUGGAAAUAGGCACAUCACGAUACUCGGCAAAACAAGGGUAGUUCUCAUCAGAAGGCAAAGAUAUAAGAGUUCGAAGAGGAGAACUCGAAUACAGGUUUGCUUUCUUGGCAAAAGAUGUAGACACACAUGACACGAAAGCACCUUAAUCAAACAACACAAAAGCAGGGACUGAAGUAACAAGAAAGGUACCAGAGAUGACGUCGGGAUGAACAUCGGCAUCAGAAUAAGUCAUGUUGUAAACUCGAUUCUUCGGCGGAGCAGAAUGACUAGGAGUAGCAGGAGGUUUAGCUGUAGCCCUCGGAUUCUUAGGACACUCAUAACUCUUGUGAUCCGCUUCCCUAUAGUAGAAUCAAACAAUAGCAGAUCCAUCACAAUCCUUCCCCAGAUGAUUAGGCUUCUCACACCUCCGACACUUGGAUGGAUCAAAACCCGGCCUAGAUUGGAACCUUGAUAUCCACCGCGGAAAUUCGGUUCAAACCCUGGCUUCUGAGCAGGACCAUGAGCAAAAGAUGGGACAGGCUUCCUCACAGACGCAACCUUAGCAGUUUCUUCUUCCUUUAUUGGCGCAUGGACACUCAGGGUCAUCUCAUAAGCAGCUUGAAAAGUAGUAACUCCCGAACACAACACAAGAGUCCUUACCCUAGGAUCCAUCUUCUUUAUGUAUCUCUUAACCCUCUCAGCUUCAGUGGGAAUGAAAGUACCAGCAAACUUAGACAACUCGGUGAAGCGGUCGUUGUACUUUUGAAUAUCCAUAUUCCCCUGAGUUAGAGAUAGAAACUCGUCCUGCUUUUGCCAGCGCAACUCAUCAGGGUGAACCUCUCCUUCAGGUUGGCAGAGAACUGAGUCCACCCAUAUCCUGCAGUAGCCAUACAUGCAGCCCUCACCGUACUCCACCAAUUAUCAGCCUCUCUCUUCAAGUAGUACGUCCUAAUAGGUACCAUUUCAGCAACAGGGUAGUUUGUUGCCGUGAAGAGCUUCUCCAUUUCCCUUAACCAAUUCUCCAAAGCCACAAGGUCAGCAGCACCAUCAUAAGUAGGAGCCCUAUGACGGUCAAAUCGGUCGAAAGCAGACUGCCCCUCAGCAGGAGUAGUAGCUCUGUUAGCCAAGGAUAUGAAAGCAUUUUCUAGGCUUACACGGCGACGACGAGCGGCUUCUUUUCUAGCAGGCAAUUGUUAUCGUGGAGGCAUUCUACAAAAUAAAAGCUUUCAAUUUAGUCAACUAAAUUCACAUAACAAAGCAUUAAAUCGAUAAAUACGGUAAACGAAAUUGAUUCCCGAGGUUUACUUUCCUACCCAAGUAACUCUUAAAAAGCGCUAGACUUGAAACCUAAGACACUAGUAAUCCUAGUACAAGUCUACUCAUUCUCUGGAAAUAUAUAGCAACUCAAAGAGAGCUUGUGGAACGUUUUACUCUGAUACCAACUGUAACAUCCCGUCCAAUGCAAAGAAUAGUAGAGGCUAAAAUAAAAGAAAUAGUGCAAAUAGCGGCAGCGGAAAUACCAGUAAGAUGGAGAUGCUACUCUAAGGAGUAGAAUAUGAAUCUAUAAUAAGUAAAAUCCUUCAAAGACAAUAUUCAAUCUCCAAAGUCAUAUAUAUAAAAAGAGAAAAUGAGGUCCCAUACCAUCACUCCAACAAGUCUCAAAACAUCAUAUGAUUUCCAAAAGAAACCUCAAAAUAGAGAAUAUCCAAACCAAAAGACAACUAAAAUUCGUAGUUCGAAACAUGUGACAACACGAAAGGGAUAGCUACUUAAGACCAACUAAGUAACUAGUCCUAAUUCCUGCCUCAAAAUGCUCGUCCACUAUGACUAGCACCACUUUCUUGCUCACAUGGUUAUAACGCACAACCCCGGUCCAAACCGUGACGAUCCUAAACAGCAUCACCAUCUGCAUAAUAAAUCAACAACUUCCACAAUCAGUGGGGAGUAACUAGCAGUUCUCCCAGCUCAAAUAGAAACAGAUAAUGAACUUAAAAGUAAUUAGAAGCAACAUCAAAGAACACAUUAACGAGUUACCAAUCUCACCAAGAGGUACAAAUAAUCACAAGUAACCAAUAAGGGAAAUUCAACAUCACACCAAGUCCCGAUCAGCCAUGCAACAAAUGCGGUCAACAAGCUCAAACAUAACAGACCAUACCGUAUGUGAGUAGACUCAUUGGACCAUGCCGCCCAAGGCUUAAGUUGCAUAUUCGAGGAACUAUAUUGCCCUUUUCGAAUAGCUAUAAUCUACGGAUCAUACCACCUGUAAGUGAACCAAUGGACCAUACCGCCCAAGGUUAAGUCACCAAGUUCCUAGGACCAUACCGCCCUUAGGAUACUCAAACUCAGGUUCCUAGGACCAUACCGCCCUUAGGAUCAUCAAACCCAAAUUCCUAGAACCAUACCGUUCAUAUGUUCAAUCCAACUCUUCAAAAACAAUGUAUACACGACAAGGUAUACACACAAUCCGACUAAACCAACUUUCAUAGGUAUACACAACAUGGUAUACAAGCAAAUCAAAUCCAGCUAACCAAUAAGGUUCAAUCGUGAGAAUACACAACCACAACACAAGCAUUCAACACACUUCAAGGCAAACAACCGUAAGAUACCCAACAAAAUUGGGCACAUACCCUUAAUAUACUUACUCAACAAACCCAAACUUACUCAAACAUAUUUAGCAUACAUACCUUAUAUAACAUCCCUAUAAUACUAGGAAAUACUUAAUAAUGAAAAGGAGCAACCAUAAACACAAAAGACAUGCACCAAUUCGCAAAAGAAAAACCUCGUCAGGGAAACUGACGGAUGGGAGCUGGCGCUCCCUUGUGGAGCUGGCGCUUUAGUGAGAAGCAAGCGCUCCAGACAGGAGCCAAUGCUCCUUGCUGACAGCGAGUGCUCGUAAUCUUCGAGCUAGGCUCGUACGUGAUCCAAUGACCAACUCAAUCCACACCAAACAUCAUCAACCAAUACACUUAACAUGAGACACAUCACUCAACAAUCAAAUACUCCAUUCUCCAAUAAACAAACCAAGUUACACCAAAUCAUUUGAAAAACAAAACAUGAAAUUUGACAAACUAACUAGCAAGAACCAACAAGAUGAUCAUAACAACAUGUUCAUUACAUGAAAAGUAACACAAGAACAACCAUACUUAACAUGAUAAUACGUUAAACUACAAUCAUACAAUCAUCUAAGUUCCACCUAGCAUGAUUCUAAGUUCUGUAACGCAAUUCUAACAACCUAAGUUCGUCAUCUAUUCCCUAUCGAGCUAGAAUAACGCUAGUUACCUUUUUCUUGAAGAGGUAAGUAGUAGAACACUUCGAUCGAAGUCUAAUUUCCUUGUGAGUAAUCACCACCUUCAUCUCCUACGAACACAAUCACAACCAACUCAACAUGUACUUGAAAACCAGUGCAAAAAUAGCUUGAAACCAAGAAGUGUGGACUGGUUUUUGUGUGAUAAAAUGUGAAGGAAGAACAAAACUUUUCCUCUCCCUUUUUCUUGUAUUAGGCGUGUAAAAUGAAGGUGACAAGGGAGGUAUUUUUAUGAUUUUAUUUUCAGAAAAUGAAGGUGAAGAGUUUGUGUUUUAAGAGGUGUAUUAAGAAAGGUAAAUGAAGAGAUGACUCUUGGUUAACUUAACGUUACAAGAGCUUAAUAAGGUUGUCCAACAACCAUUCAUAUACCACCAAAAAAAUCAGAAAUUUGGACUUCCUAAAACAAAUAAUACAAUGUACAAAAGCACUAGUACAAUGUACAUAUCAGGCACCAAGUAAAACGUUGAAAAUAAUAUAUAUAAGUAAAUAUUUUUAUAAUUACAAAUUAUAAUUAUUAAUGUAAUACAAAUACGUACUUACCACACUAUCACAUUUUACACUUUGCACAGACACGAGCACUACAUUGUCCAGUUCAUAUAACUAACGCAGAUACAAGUAUUAUACGUCUAUCAAACAAUGCCACACAUAAAACACAUUAAAACAAUAUUGAUCAAAAUAAUGUAGGUGUAAAGUAUAUAUAUAUAUUUAUACUUUCCGAAAAUAUAUUAGUAAAAAUAUAAUUUAACACUCAAAUAAUAAUAAUUAACGCGUGAAAAUUUCAGAGAAAUUUUGGGGUGUUACAGAAACAAUUAUCUAUUUCAACUGUUUCUUAUGAGUUUUUUUUUUUAAAAAAAAAAUAAAACUAUGUUCGUACGGACUAAAUCUAUAUACUAGGCUUAGGCUCAUCAACUUCAACUAAUUUCCCCCUUUUGGCAUCAUUUAGAAGUACACAAUCAAAAAAAAUCAUUGCAUAUAAGUUAUCCCCCAAUAGUUCAAAAAUAGUAGCAUCAACAACUAUUCAGAUCAGCAUGCUGCGAAAUCAAGUUAGGCAUGCAACUCACAGUUCAUAACCAAACACAAAUUAUUCAAAUGCAAACAAGCAUAGUCAAACAACAUUAAUUACAUACAAAAAAAUAUUUUGUAAUAAGGGAGGGAAAACGGUAAUGCAAAAAUAGUUAUUAGAAUGGGGUAGGGGAAACAGCUGGAAAAAGUAAUCACUCAUAAUAUUCUAAUCAGAGACAUCAUCCUCAUCAUUUUUGGAAGAGGAGUGUAAGGAUCCAGCACCAGCUUCAUAUUCCUCAUCAUCAUCUUGAUCCUUUUCCAUAGAACAACAGGUUUGCAGGGAUCAACAGGAAGAGGAGGAUCUGAAGAACCAGUAGGACCCUGAGAGCUAGAAAGUGAAGCUUUAAUCUCUAGUAGGGUUAGAACCAACAACUUAGUCGCGAACAACUUCCUCUCAAGCUUAGUGACCUUCGACUUCUCCUGGUUGUCCAACCUUUCAAUCAGAGCACGAUCAGAUUAGGUUCCCUGUAUCUUUAUCUUCUUCUCCUACGGCUUUUCUUUCUCAGCCGGUAUUCCUAACUCCUUGAACCUAAACAUAUGUGAGGAAACAUCCAAACCUUUUGCCCCAAUAUCUACUUAGUAAACACUUGAAUUUGAACUACUUUCCCAUUAAGAGGCAUCUUUUGCUUCUGGAACAGGAGGUUGAUGAUUGAACUAUAGGCUAGGGUAUGGUGAGAGGAUGAGAAAUAGUUUAUUCUAUGAUCAAUGAUGAGGGCGGGGAGAUUAAUCUUGAUCUUGUCAUCGUUAAAUAAACCAAGACCAUCUUUAUGAUUCGAACUAUUCACCUGGCAUGAGCCAUAGAAUUAACACUUUAUUGCAAAUUGAGUGUCGGAUCAACAUAAUGGGCUCACACAAAUUGGCAGAUUGAAAACUAGCAAUUCUUAUAAUAGGGCUCAACAAAUAAAAACUUUGAAAUUUUCCGUAUCGAUUACCCUAACCAUAGUAGGCCAACCAUCCCUUGGUGUAUUAAGUAGAUAAGCCACAAAAGACACUAACAUAGAGAUUUCACUUCCAAACUUAGGAGAACUCAAAUAUAUGUCGAGCAAUUAUAUUUUUUCAUAAAAAUAAAAUAAUUUACAAUUAAAACUACUUUUAACUUGUAUAAUUAUUUAGUUGUGCUAUGUCUUGUUGGGAUCAUUAAUUUAAAUUGUGUAGUGUUAUUUAGUUAUUUUUGUUAUAAGUUAUAAUUAUUUAUGCGCGUUUAGUAUUGCGAAUUGUUUAAUGCUACUUUAUAUAUUUUGGACCGACAACAUAACGGAAUUUAAGUCCAUCACUUAAGAUAGAGGGUCGAAUUUAGUGUGUUCUAGAGUCUUAUAGUGCAUUCUAGUUUAUCUUACUAAUGGUUUUGUAAUGUUAAAUCAACCCCAAGGUUACCUCUUCAUUUACCACCAUCAAACCACCUUAAUGCACCCUUAAAAUUUUGCGUAAUGGGGUGAAUAAUCAUAUCAGCUGUUUCACUUUAACCCCCUCCAUAAUGAUGAAAACAACUCAGGAAAUUCCUGCAUAACAACUCCUUCUUUUGCGAAGGACCCUCAUCCCGACUUUGGUAUCAGAUCUUGGACGAAGACCACUCGCCGAAGGAAGCUGUCUAAGGAUAUCUUUCUUCUUCUAUGGAGGAUCUCCGUCCAUAAUCCAAUAUAUUACGGACGACCAACAUCUAAAACCAGGCAUUUUUCUUCCACGAACAACCCUUGUCCGAGGUCAUGACGACGUCUAAGCUACAAAAAAAAUUUAUAAAUUUUACUAGAGUAUCAACCCUUUUCUCGGCUCCAGUCCUGGAAUACUCUUUACAAAGAUUGUCGGUGAACUUAGACAUACUGAUGUUGCCCAUCCAAGACUUUCAUAAUUAUGCUCUAGUCACCUCUGUAAACAUAACCAAAGGGUUAGUGAGAUAUAUGUGUUAGCUAGCUUGGUUUACUAGAGAGUUUUUGAAGUAUAACUCUUACCUCGGCAAUCGCAAGCCCGUGACGACCAAAUUAUCAUAAAACACCAUCUUUUUAAACGGAAUCCAGUUAGCUCGUCCUCUAAAGGUCGUAUGGUUUGGCUGGGACUAUUCCUUCAAUUUGAAAUAUUCCCCAUUAUCCUCGUCAUAUUUGUCUUCUAACUCCAAAAAUUACGGCCUCCGACCAAUAUUCGUCGAUGUACGGCUACGGACGAGGUAAUCCUCGACCAUGUAUUUAUUAGUGGCUCGUAAGAAGAUAAAAUCAGCUUUACAGUCAUGCAUCUUCGAAGGCUUAUCCCAAGGUGAGAAAUCCAGUACGGUUACAAACACUAAACCAAGCGCCGUCGGAGUAAAGACCGGUAGAGAAAGGGCCAGGCCGCACCACUCGCAGACGACUAUAAAGGAUGUUUUGUCGGGCAUUCGACACCAGUUAAUUAUGGCCGAUGCUGUAAAACCUUAGGAUUUGCUCUAUGAAAUCAUGGCGGGGGAAAUCUCAACCCUUAUCCAGUGCUAGCUUAUACACGGCAUAGUGGUUCUUGGGAGGACUUAAAAUAGUAGCCUCCCUGUAAGGAAUGACAAAGAAGUAGCCUGACAUGGGCAUGACAGAAGAUAAGAAAAUGGGGUUAGAGCCAAUUUUUUAUAACCACCUACGGUUGCCAAAAAAACUCGGGUUAGAUAGAGGACCUAGACGUCUUCUAAUUUUAGACGAAGUAGAGGAGGGGUCAUCCGAUUCCUCAGCAAUGAUGGAAUCGCCCUCAUGAUCGCUUUCGACGUUCUCCUCCAUCUCGACCUCCCUACCAGACAGACUGGGAUUGGGGCGUGCGUUGAAGUUUCCUUCUCUGAUAUGGAAAGGAGAAGAAGGCCCGGUAAAGGGCUGAGCACUAUGAGUUUCUCUCGUCUCUUCUGGAACUCGUCCAAUAGAUUCCUCCAUUUUAUAGCUAUAAGAAGGGAGAAUUAUUCUUCGUCUGAGAUGGGUUGUUUGCUUGACACGUGCUAGAUUACUCUACACAGGUAAAGACUGGGUCAUCUGACUUUGUCGGCCAAAACCAUAAAAAUAUACAUAACCUGCAAGAAUAGGCCCAACCCUAGAAUAUGCCGAAGAAUAUAUGCUAUCGAUUCUAGUGUGAAGACAAGCUCUUGGACGACUGGAAUUAUUUGACGAAGAAGAGGAAUCCAUGUUGUAUUAUUAUUUUUUAAGAAAAAAAAAAAGAAUGCAGAGCAAAGAAGAAAGAAGGAAUACAUGACGAGCGCUUGGACGUUCGAUGAAGAAAGUGAAACUUGGACGAACUCGGUAUUUGUCUAGAAAACUAGGAAAAAUGCAUUAUCUCGCUCUCUAAAAAAAUUCACUCCAUAUGUAAAUAGAUUUCAGUAAGGACAAAAGAACAUAUAUAUAGGGGGUGAAAAACCUCCAAAACUAGUUAAGAAAGACUGGUGAUUCCUAAGUUGGUUAAAGAUAACCGUUAAAACCCCAAGAAAUGGUGUGUCUUUGCCUCUUUUUAAAAAUGAGGCAACUUCUUCAGUUAUAAGGGUAUUAACCAUAUAGGGGCUGAUGGUAACUUCUUCAGAUAAAAGGGGAAAAUGUUGUAGCCUAAAUAAAUCAACGACUCUCCAGAAGACAUGUGGAACCAUAAGGAGCAUCCAUGUGUCCCCUCCAAAGGAGUAAAAAAGAGGUUUCAACUUUGAGUUUUACUAAGAAAAGAAUUAAAGCCCACCUUUUCGUCUGAAAGAAUAUUAAGGCCCAAAUCGCAAAAAAAACGACUGCAUGUGAUUGGCUGGUGUUCACCAUCCAAUUAUUGCCUUCCCCGUGUAGAUGUCUGAUUUUCUGACCAAUCAAGUGCCCCUUUUUUACUGUGACCUCAAAUGCCAGCAUUCAAGACCCCAACACUUAAAAUUGCCCUAAAAAUCAGGAGAAAGGUAACUUUUGGAAGAGUGUGCCCAUACUCUACAUAAAUUCUCUCUCUACUUUUCCUUUACACUCCAGAUAGCUGACUUAAGAUUCGGAGGAGGAACCACCACCUGAAUCUCCCAGGUGGGACCCUUCUUUUGUGGGUUUGGGAACAGAGCUCAGGUUUGGGUAGCAAGAUUCGGACAUCGUUGCACAAGUCUCCAUUGAAGAACAUUGUGAAGAAGGAGCUUACUUGUCGGACAAGUUGCCCAAAACAAAAAACAUAUUUUUAUUCCGUAACAUCCAAUCUCCGAAUUUUAAGGAUAGGAAAUUAUCUUUAAAAACGCGCUUAAUAAAAAAAGGCUGGCAAUGAGCUGGACGUAGAGGUUGCGCCUAGCGUGCCACGUCCGUCCAGCACAUUGGCCAAGCUGUGUUAAGCGCGCUACUGUGCCCCUGACACGUGGAAUUUUGACUCUCACAGAGUCCUGUCUUUUUAAAUACUCAUAUACAUGUGUACAACUUUGAUUGGGCAGCCUACAUCAGGCGUGCCAAUGUGCGCUUGACACGUAGAUCUUCGCCUCACCCGUCAGCCUGUGCUUGGCGCAGGGGGAGCGUAAAGCGCAAAUUCUUGUUGCAUAUAAAUACGUGCGCACGUUUUCCUGAAUCACAUACGAUUUUUCAAAUAUUAUUUCGCGAGCACAAAAACUUCCAAAUACUUUUGAAAUAUACUUCGAACAUCUAAACACUCAAACACUUUCCAUACUUCAAAUCCUUUUCCAGUUCCUGAUCAUACUACAUUAUUGGUUCCACGAUUGUUCCGCCUGAAGGUCGUUAAGCUCUUCGAACUAAGCCACAUAGGAAUAAUUUCUGAGGAUUGUUGAAUAAUUCAAUUUUGUUUAUUACAUUGAAGUUACUAACAGUUUUUAUAUAAUGUAGAUAUUAAUUGAUAAUCGUGAUUAUUGUUUAUUAAUUAUAAUCCCUUUUACUAUUAUUUUGUAUAUAAUAUUCAUAUGGUUUAUUUGUCCUAUGCAUGAUUUUUAUCACAUACAUGUUAUAGUUGCUAAACAAGACCUAAAGAAUUAUUCUAACUAAUUCAGAUAAUUUGGACAACCUGCUAGGUACCUUGUAAUAUUAUUACUUAAUAACUUGUCAAUACAAAUUAGUAUUUUAUGUGUUUUCGAAACCAGCUAAGACUAAAUAUUAUUUGAUCAUUCUUUGCCAUAAAAUCUGUUAUGAAUCGAUAUUUAGUAGAGGCCGGUAAUGACUAACAUAGUUCUUGAUUGUGUUAUACCCUCACCCCCGAAUGCAACUUCUGGUUUCGGACCAUGUAGGAAGUACAUAUAGGUAAAUCUACAUUGGAUAAGUCUCUAAUAUGUCCCUACAUUUUUAAUAUCCAAUUAGGUUUAUGAGUAUUCCUUUCGUUGGCGACUUCAAAUCGAAUUUCAAAUAAAAAUUAACAAUGAGGAAGUCAAAUAAACGCGCUCAACCAGUGGUAAGCGAUAAGUAAAAAUCCACGCCUACACAAUUAUAUAAUUAUUAUAAUGCAAAAAAAAAAAAAAGACAUGUUUGGUAUUAAGUAGAGGCUAGCAAUGGGCGACACGGUUCAUGACCAUGUUCAUACCCUUACCCCCGAACACAAUUUAUGGUUUAUUGAUCAUCUAUGGAGUCUAGACGUGGAAAUCUAUAUUGGAUAAGUCCUUUAUUAGUCCCUACUAAUUUUCAAUAUCUAAUUAGGUUUAUGAGUCUUCCCUUAAAAACUUGUUGGCGAGAUAAAAAGUAUUCAAUAAAACCUUAAGAAUGGAGUAGUCAAAUACACUCUCAGACCGUAUAGGUGAAAUAAAAACACGCCUACAAUAACCUUGUCUAAUGGUGUACCAAAAGGCAAGCUAUUGUUUCUUAGUCCAGUGUUGAGGUCGAGUAUCGUAGUGUUGCCAAUGUUAUAGCCAAAACAAGUUCGAUACCGGACCUCCUCCUUGAGCUUCAUCUUCAUAUCCGCAUUGCCACUAUGGUUAUCUAUGAUAAUAUUUCAACUGUCUAUCUCUUUGGCAACCCCGUACAACAUCAACGAACUAAAUAUGUUGAAGUUGACAUUCAUUUUGUUUGCGAAAAAAUUCAAGUUGGUCAUAUUCGUGUUUUGCAUGUUCCUUCUAAGCAUCAGUAUGCUGACAUAUUCACCAAAGGACUGUCACGACAUCUUUUCACUCGUUUUAGAUCCAUCAUGAUCGUAUGUCAUCCUCCUGCGCUAGUUGUGGGGUGUAUUAGAUUGUACUCAUGUAGUUAUGUUAGGAUAUUAUUUGUUAUAUUAUUGACUUGUGCAACGUAGGUUAUUUCCUAGCUUGUAUUCCUCUUUAUUGCGAAUGAGAACCUUAAUCCUAAUUAGUGGAUUCACCAUCUUUAAUGUUGAAUCAAAAAUAGCUUCACAGUUUGACCAACCAAAUCAUUUAUGAUGCCUAAAAUACCUUCUAUGAUUAGUAUAAAGGGAGAAAACCAUAUGGCUGCAGAAAAGUUAGUAAAAUGUUAGCAAAAAAAUAUAAUAGAUCGAUAUAGAGAAAGAGAGAGAGGGGAAAGAGAAACAAGAUAAAGGGGCGAGGAAGCAUGCUAGUUGAAAGAUAUAGGCACUCACACCAAGGAAAAUGGAAAAUAACAUGGAGAAACCCAUAAGAUGAUCGCAAAUUAGAUGGUAAACACGAGUCUACCAUCCAAAUGGUGAUGAACAAAACAACAUUCUUAAUGAACAAAAUAACAUCCUCAAUGAACAAACUAAGCAAAAGAACAACACAUAAGACUCAAUGAACAUCUAAAUCAGCAAUGAACAACAAGAAAAAAAGAUGAAUUAAGAGAAAAUAUCUGAUGAAUAACCACUCAGCUUAAUGAACAGACAAAGAAAACACGAUGAACAAAUAAACAUCUGCAAUAAACAAACUAAGAUACAUAAAUAUAAAGGUUAACAAAGGAGAAUCGUCGAGAUCGAUGUUCAUUAGAAAACAAUUGACGUACAUUAGUUUCACAUGUUCAUUGGAGAACCGCUGAUGUACAUUAGUUUCAUGCGUUUUAUGUUUUUUGAGCUGCAUUUGGCCCAUGUCUACCAUUUUAAUGGUAGACACUAAUCCAACAUCUACGAAUUGAUAAGAUGAUAGUCUGGAAGUAAAGCACUCAGUACUACAUAUUGGUUCUUAAACCUACGGAAGGAAAGAACCCAUGUCAUAAGAAAAUAUUAACAAUUUCACGACAGCAAUAACUACUUUAUCAAUAGAUGGACGAAUAUCAAAUAGAAAAAAUACUAGCAAGAUUGGUUUAAAUGUAACCAAUAGCUAAACAGAUUAACCAUCUCAGCAUACAAAAUCAUAGAAAGGCUUUUAGAGAGUAUGGUUAUAUUAAAAGCUUAAGUGUCAUUGAUUUAUUUAAUUUCUGUAACUUAUACUAUAAUUUUCUUAGGAUAAAUGUAUACUGCUCUCGCACAGUUGAAGGUAUUUCAACCAAUCAUCGACUUAAGUAAGUGUCAUACUUCAUACAAACUUAGCGUGUUUGAACUAAAUUGUCUUUGUCCUUUUAGACUUAUGCAAUUAUUAUCUAGACUAUCUUACGGCUUAUAUUAUAUAAAUCUUGUAUAUUACGACUAAUGUUAAAAUUUCAAAUUAUUUGCAUCUCGUAUGGCUUAAAUAUCGGUGAUAUGAAAUGGUGUUGUAGUAUUUCAUUAAUGUGGAACAAAUCAAUGAAAUAAUAAGAACAAAAAAAGCAAUAAAAAAAUAAAGAAGAGAACACAAGGAUUUACGUGGUUCUGUCAAAAUACACCUACGUCCACAUGUGAGGAAAUCAAGAGCUUCUUCACUAUGAUGAAGAAAAUCAAAUAGAAUAAUUACAAGGAAACCUCGAAUACUAGAGGUUAAAAAUGUGUGUGUGUAUAACGAACACCAAUUAGGUCCUUUUAUUACAUAAGGAACCGCGCACAAAACCCUAAAAGAGAAUACAAUUCGGAAAUCACCAAGCCACGUCAAAAUCCCAGCCGCCCGAUCUGGUCCAGCGACAUUUGCCCGAUCGGGCGGUCAAUUUCAUCAAAUCGGCAGAUGUCUCAGGCACGAUCAGGCGCUGUUCGCUCUAUCGUGAUUCGUGAAGGAUACCCAACCUGAUCGGGGGCCUUACCUUAAGAGCCUGCUGAAGACGAGUGACCCCAUCCGUUCGGGCGAACCUGCCCGACAUGACCAGGAGGGCCUGCGAAAAACUCUGUUUGACGAGAUUCAAGGCAUCAAACAAACAAUUCUCAACCUUAACUUAAAAUCGAUCAAACAAAAUAACUCCACCUUGAACCAAGAAGAGAUGGUCAUCCAAAAAACUGUAAAACCUCCACUACCUUAAACAAAAUUGCAUAAGCCUACUCAGUUUAGGCAAUCCGAAAAACCUAUAUCUUCUAUAAUUGUGUACAUAUGCGUCUACGAACACAACUCCGUAUACGAAACCAUCACAUGGUCUAGUUUGAGAGUACAAUGUCACGAACGCCAAGCAUGCUUAUUUAAAUUCACCAAACUCUCUUCAAACACUUCUUCACCUCAACAACAAACUCAAGCAAUUCUAGAAAAUUAAAUGACAACAAUAAUGUCUAAAUUGCAAUUGUACUUAAUAAAACACAAAAGUACCACAUUGAGAUAAGAAAUAGCAUGAGUAGAUUAAAAUCUAAUGCAUACUUAUUACAAACUCGAAAGCAAUCUAUCAUAGACUCCAUAGUAAAAUCCACACGGUUUCUCGUUUCACCAAGUGAUCUCAAAGACCACCAAUCAUAAAGAGAUCAUAGAAACCACAACCCUAAAUCAUGUAACGCUAAGUGCAACACCAUCAUGAAAGACAUUGUUGGCAAUAUUUGCGGAUUGGUCCUCAUUGGACUUUUCCUCAUUCUUCUUCUUUAAUUUCUAACAAUCGGCUUUGACAUGACCCUUCACGUGACAGUAGUUACAGAUUUUAUUUUUGCCAAAAUUCUUUCCACCAUUAGAAACCAAAACAUUAGUUUGAGAAGCAUUAUUAGAUUUAUUAACCAACUUAUUUUCGGGCUUCCUUAACACCCUAGAAACUCAAAUCGUAUCUACCAUACAAUAGAGUAUCUCAAAAGUGCUUAUACGAAGGCGGCAAAGAACACAACAACCUAUUAAAUAUAUCCUCAUUGUCGAUCUCAACAUCGAAGUUUUCUAAAUCCACGAUAAUAGAGAAGAAUUCAUCUAAAUGAGACUCAAGCGGUUUACCUUCUUCUAGACUGAGAUCAUGAUGUCUAGAUUUGAGUAGUAGAUGGUUGGUCACGCUCUUUGUCAUAUAAAGUGACUCUAACUUCAACCACAAACCCGCAGUUUUCGUCUCCUUGGUAACCUCUCUCAAAACUUCCUUAUAGAGACAUAAAUGAAUUGUUGUGAGAGCCUUCAAAUCGAUCUAUUCCCACUUGUCCUCCGUCAUACCUGAAGGCUUUUUGGACGCACCUUCAAGAGCCUUGUGAUAGCCACUUUGAACCAAGAUGACUUCAUCUUCAAUUGCCAAGGCCAAAAUUUACUUGCCUAACAAAUUUCUCAAUAUCGAAUUUCAUUGACAUAAUUUAAUCAAACUCAUUUUAUAAACACCUAAGACCUAAAACCUUGCUCUUGAUACCAAUUUAUUAGAAAAGGGUCUUGUAGUGUUUGAUUAAUGCGGAACAAAUCAAUGAAUAAGAACGAGAAAAGUAAUGAAAAGAGAUAACCAAGAGAACACAAGGAUUCACGUAGCUCGAUCAAAAUAGACCUAUGUCCGCAGGUGGGGGAAUUAGAGCUUUUUCACUAUGACGGAACAAAACAUAGAGAAUAAUUACAAGGAGUCUUAUAAUACUAGAGGCUAAAAGUGUGUGUGUAUAAUGAACACCAAGUCGGUCGCUUUAUAACAUAAGGAACCCCGCAAAAAACUCUAAAGAGAAUUCAAUUCGAAAAUCACCAAGCUGCAUCAAAAUCCUAGCCGCCCGAUCAGGUCGGGCUACAUUUACCCGAUCGGGCGAUCAAUUUCUUGAACCUUGUUGAUGUAUCGAGCACGAUCGGGCAUUGUUCGUCCGAUCGUGAAUCGCGAAAGAUGAUCGAUUGCGUGUACCCGCCCCGGCUUGAUCAAGUGUCUUGCCUCAAGAGGUUGCUGAAGAUGAGCGAACCUGCCUGGUCAAGCGAACCUGCCCGACUUGACCGAGCGGGCCUGCGAAAAACUCCAUAUGAAGAGAUUCAAGGCAUCAAACUAACAAAUCUCCACCUUGACUUGAAAGUGAUCAAACAAGAUAACUCAAUACCUUGAUCCAAGAAGUGAUGAUCACCCAAAAAACAAUAAAACCUCCACUACCUUAAACAAAAUUCCAUAAAGACUACUCAUUUUAGACAAUCCAGAAAACGAACAUCUUCUAAAAUUGUGUACCGAUGCAUUUUCGAACACAAAACUCCGUAUACGAAACUAUCACAUGGCCUAGAUUGAGAGUACAAUGUCACCACGCCAAGUAUGCUUAUUCAAAUUCACCAAAUCUUUUUAAACACUUAUUCAACUCAACAACAAACUCAAGUAAUUCUAGAAAAUUAAAUGAUAACAAUAAUGUCUGGAUUGUAAUUGUACUUAACAAAGCACAAAAGUACCAAAUUGAGAUAAGAAAUAGCAUAACUUGAACAAAAUACAAUCAUAAAGAGAGUUUGGUGCAACAUCCACACGAUUUCUUGUUUCACUAAAAGAUUUCUGAUUUAUUAAAAACUCAAAAGCAAUCUAUCAUAGACUUCAUAGCAAAAUCCACACGAUUUCUCGUUUCACCAAGAGAUCUCAAAGGGCACCAAUCAUAAAGAGAUCGUAGAAACCGCGACCCUAAAUCAUGUAACCCUAAAGUGCAACACCAUCAGCAAAUACAUCGUUGCCAAUAUUUGCGGAUUGGUCCUCAUUGGACUUUUCCCCAUUUUGCUUCUUUAAUUUCCAACAAUCGGCUUUGACAUGAACCUUCACGUGACAAUACACUACUACAUUUUUUAACAAAGGCAAUUACUUGAAAAAAUCUAAUGCAACAAUCUAAUUUAUGUCGUUGCAAUACAAGUGUAUAAUGCAAUGACUCAUGUCAAUAUGGAUUAAUCUGAUUUGCUAUGGCAAUGACUAAGUAAGAUAGUUGAGCUAGAUUGAUCUAUGGCUACAGUACUGGUUUCGUCGUUGCAACAUGUCCAUUACCUUAUUGAUAUAUUGAAACGGAAUCUCAAAUUUCAUGAAUUACAUGCAUAUAAUUAUUUUAGUUUCCCUCCAAUUCUAUCUUUAAAUUUCAAACUCUAACUUUCAAACCCUUAUCGAUCAGUUUCCAUAGAGCUCUCUACCUCUCUUCGUGCCUCCCAUCACCUUAGCUUUUCGUAGAGGUUGAAUUGAAGCUUUUGUAUGGGGAAUUUUCAAUUGAAUAAUAAGGGAUUCAAAUUUAACUUUAAGGGUUACAUAUAUGUCAUUUGAAGCUUUCUGCCACGGCAGUCAGUGGCAUCAACCACCCUUUUCUAUCUCUUUACACGGCGGCCAGUUGCAUCAACCACUUCACCGAUCUUUAUGAUGCUUUUAGGAGGACUCAAAUCAUGUAACUUUGACUUCAGAACCAACUUUUAAUUUCAGUUCUGAAGAAUUAUUUUUCUUUACCAAGAUUAAAGCUUUUGUUAGAGAAUGAUUUUCAUCACGGUACCUUAUCAAUUAUUUUCUUUAUCUUUCUCUUGUAUCUUUCUACAAUUAACAGGCAAAAUUCUGCUAAUUUUGAGUUAAUUUGAAAAAUUGAGAUUAUUACGCCGACGGUUAUCUUGUAAUCUCUCUCCUCCUCUAUCUCCUUUACUUAUUCUCACUUUUAUUUUCUUAUUAAUAUUAAUUGUUUUAAAUUCUUUUUCGCUUUCAUUUUCAAAUUUGUAUCAGCUUCUUUCUUCAUAAUUUCAGGAAACAAUUUGAUUUUUCAUGAAAUUGGUGUUGUAUGAUGUCAUAAUCAGAAUAAUUUAUUUAAUUGGAUCCGUAUUAUUGGUCAUCACAUUUCUAAAUCACUCAUCAGGUUCAUAUGGUUGCUAAUAGUUUUGCACUGGAUUGGAUGUGUGCUUCUGAUAUCGUUUUGGAGAUAACUAGUAUAGAAUAAUGGACCGAAAAGUAAUCAAAAGUAGAAAGAAUAGUUGGCAAUUUAUUUUCUCCAGAACAUAGGCAAUGAGGAAAACUAGGUCGUCACUAGUCUCCUAAAUUCAAACAAAACCUAACUAGAUCACUAAACUAAGUAAAGUGACAAGCAAGGGUACGGUCAUUCUUCCACAAGGACUAAGGAGUACCAAUAUGUGUUAAUUUAACAAUAAGCUGGACAGAAGAAAUCUCUAAGUUUUGGUUAAACUAAGAGUAUAAACUAUUGAAAUCAAAAUAGGAAAAGCACUAGGAAUGGGAAAGUACCACAAUCAUAAGUUCACAUCCAACAACCAAGAGAAAAUAAGGGGGUUGACAUGCAUUGGGGAUAUGCAAACGGAAUAAAUAAACCUAAACACCUCUAAAAUCGUUGUUAGGGAUUUUAGAGUUCUAAUUACGGCAACAAAACCUAUAUUUUGAGGUUUUAUAACGUAACUACGCCAAGUUAGAAAUUGAAAUCAAACACAAGUUAAUAACAACCAUCAAGUGAUGUAUAUCAACUAAUCAAUCAAUCAUGAAGGUCAACUACAUAAAAGUAACCAUUAAAUGGACAACAAAAGGAUCAAAAGGUGAUAAAGCUCACAUCAACUAAGUCGCCAAUCAACAUCAAUGAUUGAAAUUGCAUAAAUCUUAAACAUAACCAACCUAAUAAACUCUACUCGUGAAAUAUGAUAGAAACAAUGAUUGGGUUACUCCCAAUCCUAGUUAAUGAACUACUCACUACCCAUUAUACUACCAAACAUCCUAAACAUGGAAAAAUUAGCAAUAGAUCACCAAUCCAAAAAUACCAAAAAAAAACCUAAAUCAAGACUUUCAAGCAAAAACAAAACAAAAUCUAGUGAACAAACAAGAAGAAAAUAGAAAAAGAUGAAAAACUUUAAGGAAAAAUUAUCAUAAAUAAGUCAACCUUUGGCCCAUCCGCUAAAACUAAGUCAAGAUUUUGAUUAUCCUGAAAUAAGCUAAACUUUAAUAGCUAUCCGUUUUUAACAAGUCAUAACUUAUUUUAACCUUUUUAACAGGUUAAAAAUCCACAUGUUACUUUAUCAUUCAUUGAUUUAUUAUUGUUAAAAUAAUGAUAUUUUAACAGAAAAAACAAGUUCUCCUCCAUUCCCCCCCCCCCUUCUUACCCACCAUCACCACCCAACCUCUCUUUCUUCCUCUUCCCUAACACCAACCAACCUCCCAAAGCCACCCAACCACCACCACCAUAUUACUGUUAAUCCCACAGGUUCCCACCACUGCCAAGACCAGCAAUCUCUCUCUGAUUCAUCUCUGUUUGACAAAAAUUCAAUUUUGACAAAAAGUACUACGAUAUGUUUAAGAUUAUAAAUACUUCAUUAACGAUGCUAACAAAAUUGUACCCAAAAGGUCACACAAUGACAGUAAACCAAUAACUUGCACUAAUUAACCAAUUUGUACAUGCCAUUAAGGGGGUAUGGAGUCCCAAAUUAAGGACCUUUAUAGAGGCCCCCCAAAAUUCAGGAUUCCACCAAGUGACGUUUAUUACCCCUAAAGCAUAUUAUUAAUGCAUGCAUUGUUGGAUUUCCUUAAUUGGACUUCAAUUCGAGUUUUUCCAUCAAUUACGGUUUCUUCCAUUUCACCACCCCUCGUUUUAGUGCUCUUCUUGUCAGCCCCUUCUAUUCUUCAUGUAUCUAUUCCACAAUUUUUCUGUGCAACUUUUGAAGCUCAGCUUAUUUCCGAUGAACCGACAGCUUUAGUGGCAACAACACAUAAAACAACGAAUAUUGAGGGCCGACCUUGAUUUCACGCGUGCCUUUAACAGGCCACGCAGGCGUAAGGUGAGGUUGAGGGUGUCUGUGUUGGUAUCGAGUUUGUUGGUGUUGGUGGUGGUUCUGGGUGUUGGUUAGUUGUGGGCGGGGUUGUGGUGGUUGUCGGUGGUAGAGGACUUAGGGGGUGGUAGUAGACUAGCUAGUAGUGGUGGUGGUGGUCUUAUAGAGGUGGGGAACAGAGGGUAAAAGAAUGUUUUUAAAAAAAAUUAUGAAAUAACGAUUUACCCAUCAAACCAUUUGCUGGUCACUUGACUUGUUUAAAACAAAUGGGUAUUGAAGUUAGACUCAUUCAAAAAUAAUCAAAAGAAUGACUUAUUUAUAGCAGAUGGUCUAAAAGUUGACUUAUUUUUAACAAUUUUUCCAAACUUUAAUCUAGAUUAACUAUUAAACAUGAAAGUUAAACAAUGCUAACAAUUAAAAUAACACAAACAUUUAUAUGUGGCUGGCCACACCUAUAACUAAUGGUGUGGCCAACUAAUAUAAAAGCCCAAUUCGCUUAGUGAUAUAACAGAGCCAGUCCGUUUGGUUUUCAUUUGAGAAAUUUGAAGGAGCCCAACGCAAGAAAUGAGAAAUUUGAGCCCAUUUCUCUCUCUCCUUUUGUUCUCUUCCAGUUGAGCUCAUUUCUCUAUGUUUUCUUCUUCUUUUUUCUGGCAUUUCGUAUGUAACCUCCAUUUCUAAACAAUCAUCAUCAAGGGUUUGGUUUUCAUUUUCGUUCUUGACUAUUAUGCUGUUCGAAUUAUUUGCGGAAUUAUGGCUAGAGAAAAGACUACAUCUCGUCGUCGUCCAAGUCAUGGUGGUCGCAGUGAUGGUGGUCGCAGCGUUUGUGGUCCUAGUGAUGGUGGUCGUGGUUCAAAAGAUGAGUCUCUUGGGAAAGAUAUUCCUAACCAUGAAGGUAAUACAGGAGAUGAGUCUGUUGGGAAAGAUGUUCCUAAUCGUGAAGGAAGGGAUAAAUAAGGUCCAUUGAGGACAUGUAACAGUACUCCUUCGAAGCCAGCUGGGAAAAAGAAGACUAAUCGUGAAGGUAAUACAGAACAUGAGUUUGUUGGGAAAGAUGUUCCUACGAUCCUUGAGGAGGAAGCUGAAGAGGAGUAUAAUCCUCAUAAAAGAUGUCGGGUUUCUAAAAGUACUCCUUCGAAGCCAGCUGGGAAAAAAAAGACUAAUCGUGAAGGUAAUACAGAAGAUGAGUUUGUUGAGAAAGAUGUUCCUAUGAUCCUUGAGGAGGAAGCUGAAGAGGAGUAAAAUCCUCAUAAAAGAUGUCGGGUUUCUAAAAGUACUCCUUCGAAGCCAGCUGGGAAAAAGAAGAUUAAUCGUGAAGGUAAUACAGAAGAUGAGUUUGUUGGGAAAGAUGUUCCUAUAAUUCUUGAGGAGGAAGCUGAAGAGGAGUACAAUCCUCAUAAAAGAUGUCGGGUUUCUAAAAGUACUCCUUCGAAGCCAGCUGGGAAAAAGAAGACUAAUCGUGAAGGUAAUACAGAAGAUGAGUUUGUUGGAAAAGAUGUUCCUACGAUCCUUGAGGAGGAAGCUGAAGAGGAGUACAAUCCUCAUAAAAGAUGUCGGGUUUCUAAAUGUACUCCUUCGAAGCCAGCUGGG